ACAACCCUUAAAUAUUUAGAAAUAUAUUUUAAUGUUUUGCCUAUGUUGUCUUAAGUUUUAUGGAGUAUGCUGACAUUUAUACAAUGAAAACAUGAAACCCACUAAACUGUAUUUUAAAAGGAACUAUAUUUUAACAUUACAGAAUACAUCAGUUAUAAUGUGCAACAGAGACCUCAGGUCGCCUUGUGAACCCUUUCUGGUGGCCCAGAAAAACCUAGGACACUAUGAAAAAAAUUACCGAGAUGCAAAGGGCAGUGCAAAGAAUUGGGGAAUAUCUGCCAGUGGCAAGAACAGUAACAGAGACCUUGAGGGCUAGAUUCUGAUUCCACCUAUUACCCAGCUCAAGAGUCUACAGAACAUCGUUCAGUCUGCUUUAAUCUUCCUCAGUGGCAAAACAGGGACAGUAAUACCACUAUGAAUAUGUGACAGAACUGCUGUAAGGACUUUUAGAGGCUGAACAUGAAAUUCCUAUGAAACUGCAUCAUGACAACAUUCAACCUGAAGGAAACAACUGAUAAAACAUUCACCAAGAGAAAAACCAAAUGGUUAGAGUUCAAGAAUUAUUUGAAAAACAGGCUCCUACCUUUCUGAAAUUUCCUCUAAUAGCUCCAUAAGUUUAGCAGCCAAACCAAGACGCCGAAACUCCGGGGCAACAGACAGAGCUGUGACAUGCCCGUGCCAUUCUUCCCUUGCCACUGAGCCUUCUGCUUUGCCCAUGACUGCCAAUGAAAGACCACAUCCAGUGACUAAACACGGCAACUCACACGCGGAGAAAUACUGUGUGGUGUGCACUUUUAUCAUAAAGGAAACGACCAAGUUCUGAUUUUGAAGUUAACACAAAGUCGGGGUCCCCAACCUCUGGGGACCUGAUGAUCUGAGGUGGAGCUGACGUAGUAAUAACAGAAAUAAAGUGCAUAAUAAAUGUAACGUGCUGGAAUUGUCCAAAAACCAUCCUCACCCUCACCGGAAAAUUUAUCUUCCAUGAAACUGGUCCCUGAUGCCAGAAAGUUUGGGGACUGCUGCUUAAAGCCAUCUAGCUAAUUGUUACUCUUACUUGAUACGUAUUUUUAAAACGAUCUACCAUUUCAUGUGGGUAUGUAUGUGUGUAUGCACACACAACAGACAGUCCACAGCUCAAACCUGUGCCAGCAACAUGACCAGUUCUGUCUGGGUCACUGCUGUAUCCCUGGGCCUAGCACAGCACCUAAGACAGAGGGGUCAGUAAGCUGUCCAAGAGGUGAAAAGAAAAGAAAAUUACAGGCUCAUGAUUAUAGUUCCAGUUCUGUGAUCAGUCUAAGAGUUAAAAGCUAUUUUUAUCUUAAUUGCUUAACCCAGAAAAGUACUAGUAGUGUUAUACUUACUAUAACCCAUUAACUCGCCUCCAGGCGCCUCUGCGACGAUGAAGUACUCUGGCCAGUGGGCAAGGUACUGUAGGUAAAAAGGAAUCCCAUACUAGAGACUCGUUAAGGAGGAUGCAAAGUAAGGACAGUCAGAGUUCUUCACAAAACGAGUUUUGAAGUUUCCUUUAAAAAGCAUAUUUUUCAUCCCUAGCCAAUUGUAUGAUUUCUGCAAUCAGUUCAUUACAUGAAAUGUUUAGGUUAGCACUAAAUUUCAAGAAAACUGCCUGAAUAUGUAACCUCAGAUGUGAAUGGAGACAUACCAUCCAAGAGUGGAGAACCAGGACCCCCAAGUUCUACAGCCUGUCUCCCCUGCUCAUACUUUGUCUAGACCCCCCUCCCCCGCACAGCACCUCCCCAUCAGCUGCCAUUCCUGUCUACCGUCCCCUUACAGUGUAGUGUCACCUGCCCUCUCUCCCUGGUACUGGGCACACAGUGCAGCCUCAGGAUGUUUACUUCUCCCUUUCUGCACUAGGAUAUGAAGGACGAGUGCCUUCAUUAGCUUCAGGCGUGGGACAGUGAGAAUAACUGUAAUUUACUUCCAAAGGCUACUUAACAAACCCAGUUCGUCCAGUCCACUGAUUCAAAUUCUGCAUUUCUAGUAAUGCAAAAAAUAAAAACCUGAUGUUAAAGUGAAUGCCUGAGUGCUCAUUACUUAGCUCUUCAGCCCUGCUGUCCUACUGAGCUGUACUCAUUUCUAUACUUCUCAGUAUUAACUUGGAGGUGCAGUUCUAUAAGGGGACACCAUCAGCCUUUUUUUAACUUUCUGGAAAAUCUUUUUGUAAAUUCUUCAAACUCCCCUCUGAAGGACAGCCUUUAUUCUGUCUCUUAAAACAUAACCAUUAACAUGGAAGCACAAGUCUUUCUGCCAUCCAGCCACUGACAACAUAACCAUCUCUUCUCUGGCUACUGUAGGAGCCCCAGGCACUAACUAGCUUAUGGACCAUGAAGCCCUGGCAGGCACCUCACCCGGUUUAUGGGACUUUUGCCAAAAACUACAUAUAAUGGGAAGCAUACCCUGUAGCCUGAUUCGCACUGUGAUACUUUGCCUAAUAUACAGUGAAAAGUUUUCUGUCAUUAAAAAUUCUUCAAAAUCCUUUCACUUUUUUAAACAGCAGUCUUUAACAGGUCAUAAUCUUUUCAAUACAAAUGAAAAUUGAGGCUUUUUUGUUUUUGCUUUUUUCACUCAACUUUGUUUCUGAUAUUCAGCCCUAUUGUCACCUGUUACAGGUGAUUUUUACUGCUGAUAGUACUCCACUGACAUAACUCAGCGACAAACAUUUCCUGUAAAGAGCCAGACAAUAAAUAUUCAAGGCUGUGUGACCCAUAUGGUCUCUGUUGCAACUACUAUGAAAGCCACAAUAAAUCCUAAAGGAACUUCCCUGUGUGGAAAAGGCCACAAACAGGAUCAAGAAAAUUAUGAAUGGGAAAGCUCACGGGUAUGGCAAAAGAGGUAAAGGUAGGAAAUCCUCCACACACAGAUACAGUAUCAAAACCAACACAUGUGAGAAGAGUACAGGAUAUUGGAAAUGCAUCAGAAAUUGGGACCAGCAACUUAAAACAAUCCUGUAUGUACACAGACAGACUGCUGUAUCAAAACCUCAUGGAAACCACAAACCAAAAA